AUUGAACGCUGGCGGCAGGCCUAACACAUGCAAGUCGAGCGGAUGAAGGGAGCUUGCUCCUGGAUUCAGCGGCGGACGGGUGAGUAAUGCCUAGGAAUCUGCCUGGUAGUGGGGGAUAACGUCCGGAAACGGGCGCUAAUACCGCAUACGCCCUGAGGGAGAAAGGGGGGGAUCUUCGGACCUCACGCUAUCAGAUGAGCCUAGGUCGGAUUAGCUAGUUGGUGGGGUAAAGGCCUACCAAGGCGACGAUCCGUAACUGGUCUGAGAGGAUGAUCAGUCACACUGGAACUGAGACACGGUCCAGACUCCUACGGGAGGCAGCAGUGGGGAAUAUUGGACAAUGGGCGAAAGCCUGAUCCAGCCAUGCCGCGUGUGUGAAGAAGGUCUUCGGAUUGUAAAGCACUUUAAGUUGGGAGGAAGGGCAGUAAGUUAAUACCUUGCUGUUUUGACGUUACCAACAGAAUAAGCACCGGCUAACUUCGUG
rnacentral:rRNA from 1 species